rnacentral:rRNA from 1 species
GUGAGGAAUAUUGCGCAAUGGAGGCAACCCUGACCCAGCGACGCCGCGUGGGUGAAGAAAUCCCUCGGGAUGUAAAGCCCUGUUGUAUGGGAAGAGCAGAAGACGGUACCAUACGAGGAAGCCCCGGCAAACUACGUGCCAGCAGCCGCGGUAAUACGUAGGGGGCAAGCGUUGUCCGGAAUUACUGGGCGUAAAGCGCACGCAGGCUGAAUUAUAAGUCGGUAGUCAAAUACGGAGGCUCAACUUCCGGAUAUCUAUCGAUACUGUAAAUCUAGAGUAUGUGAGAGGGAAGCAGAAGUCCCGGUGUAGCGGUGAAAUGCGUAGAUAUCGGGAGGAACACCAGUGGCGAAGGCGGCUUCCUGGCACAAUACUGACGCUCAUGUGCGAAAGCUAGGGCAGCGAACGGGAUUAGAAACCCUGGUAGUCC